rnacentral:misc_RNA from 1 species
AGUCGACCUAUCGCGAGCAGGCGGUAUCGUCACGGAUCGCAGAUAAAGACUGGUCCGCGAGGAUCUCGCACUGUGAAUGUGGGUCACACGAGAGCGUGCACUGAACAGAGUGGUCGGACCUAGCCGGUGGGACAAAAAACAUCAGCCACACCACGUUUCGCCUCUCUUUAGGAAUCAGAAAGUCUUUCUUACACACGCACUAUGUCGUGGGAAGCGUAUAUGACGAGUCUAGAGGGCUACACGAACAAUAAGAUGCAUUAUGGAGCCAUGUAUGGUCUCGACGGCAACGUCUGGACAAGCAAGGGGCCCCUGACUGUCACGAAAGAUGAGGCACUGUCUUUAGUCAAGAUUUGCGAUAACAAUGAUGUCGAAAAGACCAAAGCCCAGAGUGGAGGAAUUUUCCUCGAUAGUAAAAAGUUUCGGUUCUUGAGGUCUGAUUCCGACGAGAAAAGCGUAACCUUCGUCCGCAGUGAAGGAGAAAAGCUACAUAACGGAUUUGCCAUUAAGACCAAAAUGGCAGUUAUCAUCUGUUUGUGUGAAGAAGAAGGCAAAAGCUCUACUGCCACAUCAGGAACAUGUAAACUAGCGGAGUACUUAGUGUCCUUGGGUUAUUGACUUGUUAUAUGUGGAGUGUUCCGAUGCAGCACAGUUUGGAAGCUACAAGGUGAUAGUCGUCCACAUUCCGUUAUGGAUAAACGUGAAUGCUGUGAGCUUCAAUAAACAUUUUCUACGUUUCACUGUACACAUCACUGUUUUCCAUGUAAUCUUUAACAGCGAUAUCUAUUAAAAAAAAGAUGCUCUAAUUAAAACAAUAAUUACAAUAUAUCUUUUGCUAGAUGCUCAUAGAUUUCAGCAAGUUGCUAUUUUGAUUAUGUAAGUCUCUCAAAUGUGAUUGGAAUAAUAAACCCUUUCAUCAACCAUACUUCUUGAGGUAUUGUCCAAAAAAGGGAAAAUUUGUCUAAACGUAUACGUCCUGCCUAAUGGUAGUAUCAGCCAAAGUGCAAAAAUCUGGCUAUGAAAGCGUGGAACAGGGAAACACGUUCUCGGAUAUUUCACGACCCAAACAUCUGUCAUGCACAGUGUCAAGUAAUGGUAGCAAUUUUUAGAUCCGAUCAAACGCAACUAUAUCACUUUUUACGGAACAUCUUCGAACAUGUUUAAUGUAUUGUGUUCAUUUAUAAUUUGUAUACAACAGUAUUUAUGGCAAGCUCACUGCAAGUUAUAACUGAUUUCAAAAGUAUUUCCUCAUUAAAAUAUCCUGAAAACAGCCAAUACUUGACAAUGGUAUGGAUUGUACGAAGGUGAUUGAUGAACACGUUCAUGGAUGGCUGUCUGAACAUCUCCCUUAAACGUGUACAUGCCACUGCAUGUUUGCUGCAAUGGUGACAAAAGCAACUUGUGUAGGCCUACACUGUUUCAUAGAUUGUGCAUAUGUAGAACUUAACAUGCUUAUUAUAAGCCUAUCACUGCAAGUUAUUUCAAUUGGGAGCGGAACACACCUCUAUGGAUCUUCUACAGUACACAUGUGAAACACAAACUGUUUCACAAAGUUUAAUCCUGAUAUCUCGGAAUCUGUCAAAGGUGAUGACCUGUUUUACCUCAAAGUGAGACCUCAGGUCGCAGUUGACUUCGUGAAUAACGAACUCGACACAAGGGAUCUCUGCACUAGAGAAUCCAGAUUGUAAGUCCUGCCUGACGAGAUAAUUUUAUUUUGGAUUGGAUAAGAAAAUAGAACUUUACAGCUUUCAUUGACCCAUGUUUAGGGUGAAGAAAAUACUAAAUACAUUCAUUGUUUUAUGCCUCGAGUAAGUUAAUUUACAUAGGCUACUCUGCCCUUAAAGAUUGUGUAAACAUCUAAGACCUGCACCACAUCGGGCUUUUCUCCCAUGAUUAGUGCUGACACUUUGUGAUAUAACUGGAAUACUGUUCAAAGCGGCGUUAAACCAAACUCACUCACUCACUGACGGAUGGUGAUACUGGUUUUUGCAUAAUAAACAACUCAAUACGGACAUUAUUUUAUGACUGAAAGUGUUGUGUUCGAAGACACCGCAAAUUGACAAACACAUUCUUCAGUUGUUGUUUUCUAACGAGUUGUACUACUUCAAUUCGCAUGAGGAGAGGUGGGGUAGCCUGGUGGCCAAAGCGUUCGCUCGUCACGCCGAAGACCCUGGUUCGGUUCCACACAUGGGUACAAUUUGUGAAGCCCAUUUGGUGUCCCCCGCCAUGAUAUUGCUGGAAUAUUGCUAAAAGCGGCGUAAAACCAAACUCACUCACAAGGCCUGAUUACUGACCAUAAUUUAAUAACAUAUUUGUGACGUCUGGCAUCUUCAAGAGCGAUUAUAUUCUACGACCUGGUGCCAAUUUCAAGUCAAGGCCAAGUUCUAGGACGUUUCAAUGAAUGACUAUCUAAUUCUACAAGCAGGAUGUCGUGGGAUUGCUACAUGGACACCUUGGCAGGUUAUACCAGUCAAAAAAUGAUAUUUGGCGGCAUCUAUGGAUUCGACGGCUCAAGAUGGACAGACAAGGGGGACAUUGCCCCGAACACAAAGGAAAUCUCAGCCAUGGUGAAUGCUUGCAAUAACAACAGUGCCGACUUAUCAACUGCAUACACUAAUGGGUUGUUUAUGAAAGAUAAGAAGUUCAGGUUCUUGCGGGGCGAUCCUGAGGAGAAAUAUAUAAUAUUUACCCGUUCUGAGGGCGAAAAGCUUCAAAAUGGCUGCGCUGUGUUGACAAAUCAAACCAUCCUACUCUGUGUGUGUCAAGAGGAAAGUAAAAGUUCGAUCGCGGUUGACAGUGCAAUUAAGCUCGCCAAGUACUUAAAGGAUAACAACUAUUAACUGAGCUCCUCUGACCAGUUCUUAUGUGGACAACAUGGCAGAGUAUCGUCGUGUUGUUGGCCAAUACAACAUUCCGCAGCCUAAACCAAUGCUAUGCUAAUAUGACAAUGGACUAUCUAUUAACUAUGUAAUGGUGGUGAUUAAACCAAUUCUAGUCUAUACUAUCAGACUGUUCAGAACACGUUUCUCAGUGCAUGACACGGAACCUGUUGCUUGUAACUCGUUUCACUAGAUGCUCACCUUUACGAACUGUUUUGUUGAAUGUUUGAAAAGUCAACAAAGUGAUUGGAAUAAUAAAACAAAUUCUUCUGUUACGCGUUAGAUUCUGUUGCAAUUGUGUAACCCCAUCACUUGGCCUUAUUAGGAAUAAUUGUAAUAAACAAGCUGUUGUCACUUUG